GAUGAACGCUGGCGGCGUGCCUAAUACAUGCAAGUCGAGCGAACGGACGAGAAGCUUGCGUCUCUGAUGUUAGCGGCGGACGGGUGAGUAACACGUGGAUAACCUACCUAUAAGACUGGGAUAACUUCGGGAAACCGUAGCUAAUACCGGAGAAUAUUUUGAACCGCAUGGUUCAAAAGUGAAAGACGGUCUUGCUGUCACUUAUAGAUGGAUCCGCGCUGCAUUAGCUAGUUGGUAAGGUAACGGCUUACCAAGGCAACGAUGCAUAGCCGACCUGAGAGGGUGAUCGGCCACACUGGAACUGAGACACGGUCCAGACUCCUACGGGAGGCAGCAGUAGGGAAUCUUCCGCAAUGGGCGAAAGCCUGACGGAGCAACGCCGCGUGAGUGAUGAAGGUCUUCGGAUCGUAAAACUCUGUUAUUAGGGAAGAACAUAUGUGUAAGUAACUGUGCACAUCUUGACGGUACCUAAUCAGAAAGCCACGGCUAACUACGUG
rnacentral:rRNA from 1 species